rnacentral:rRNA from 1 species
UAGGGAAUCUUCCACAAUGGACGCAAGUCUGAUGGAGCAACGCCGCGUGAGUGAAGAAGGUUUUCGGAUCGUAAAGCUCUGUUGUUGGUGAAGAAGGAUAGAGGCAGUAACUGGUCUUUAUUUGACGGUAAUCAACCAGAAAGUCACGGCUAACUACGUGCCAGCAGCCGCGGUAAUACGUAGGUGGCAAGCGUUGUCCGGAUUUAUUGGGCGUAAAGCGAGCGCAGGCGGAAUGAUAAGUCUGAUGUGAAAGCCCACGGCUCAAACGUGGAAAUGUAACGGAAACUGUCAUUCUUGAGUGCAGAAGAGGAGAGUGGAAUUCCAUGUGUGGCGGUGGAAUGCGUAGAUAUAUGGAAGAACACCAGUGGCGAAGGCGGCUCUCUGGUCUGCAACUGCCGCUGAGGCUCGAAAGCAUGGGUAGCGAACAGG